UGUAAACAUCCUUGACUGGAAGCUGUAAAAUGUUCAGAGGAGCUUUCAGUCGGAUGUUUACA
rnacentral:pre_miRNA from 1 species